rnacentral:rRNA from 1 species
GACGAACGCUGGCGGCGUGCUUAACACAUGCAAGUCGAACGGAAAGGCCCUGCUUUUGUGGGGUGCUCGAGUGGCGAACGGGUGAGUAACACGUGAGUAACCUGCCCUUGACUUUGGGAUAACUUCAGGAAACUGGGGCUAAUACCGGAUAGGAGCUCCUGCUGCAUGGUGGGGGUUGGAAAGUUUCGGCGGUUGGGGAUGGACUCGCGGCUUAUCAGCUUGUUGGUGGGGUAGUGGCUUACCAAGGCUUUGACGGGUAGCCGGCCUGAGAGGGUGACCGGCCACAUUGGGACGGAGAUACGGCCCAGACUCCUACGGGAGGCAGCAGUGGGAAUAUUGCACAAUGGGCGGAAGCCUGAUGCAGCAACGCCGCGUGCGGGAUGACGGCCUUCGGGUUGUAAACCGCUUUCGCCUGUGACGAAGCGUGAGUGACGGUAAUGGGUAAAGAAGCACCGGCUAACUACGUG